CUGAUUCAGCGGCGGACGGGUGAGUAAUGCCUAGGAAUCUGCCUAUUAGUGGGGGACAACGUUUCGAAAGGAACGCUAAUACCGCAUACGUCCUACGGGAGAAGGCAGGGGACCUUCGGGCCUUGCGCUAAUAGAUGAGCCUAGGUCGGAUUAGCUAGUUGGUGAGGUAAAGGCUCACCAAGGCGACGAUCCGUAACUGGUCUGAGAGGAUGAUCAGUCACACUGGAACUGAGACACGGUCCAGACUCCUACGGGAGGCAGCAGUGGGGAAUAUUGGACAAUGGGCGAAAGCCUGAUCCAGCCAUGCCGCGUGUGUGAAGAAGGUCUUCGGAUUGUAAAGCACUUUAAGUUGGGAGGAAGGGCAGUAAGUUAAUACCUUGCUGUUUUGACGUUACCGACAGAAUAAGCACCGGCUAACUUCGUGCCAGCAGCCGCGGUAAUACGAAGGGUGCAAGCGUUAAUCGGAAUUACUGGGCGUAAAGCGCGCGUAGGUGGUUCGUUAAGUUGGAUGUGAAAGCCCCGGGCUCAACCUGGGAACUGCAUCCAAAACUGGCGAGCUAGAGUAUGGCAGAGGGUGGUGGAAUUUCCUGUGUAGCGGUG
rnacentral:rRNA from 1 species